GGGGAUGUAGCUCAGUGGUAGAGCACUCGUCUAGCAUUCAUGAGGGUCUGGGUUCCAUCUCCA
rnacentral:tRNA from 1 species